AGAGUUUGAUCAUGGCUCAGGAUGAACAUUGGCGGCAUGCUUAACACAUGCAAGUCGCACGCCCCUUCGGGGGAGUGGCGCACGGGUGCGUAACACGUAGGUGAUCUGCCCUGAAGUGGGGAAUAACCGUGAGAAAUCAUGGCUAAUACCGCAUAGACUCAGCGAUGAGUAAAGCAGCAAUGCGCUUUAGGAGGAGCCUGCGGCCUAUCAGCUAGUAGGUGGGGUAACAGCCUACCAAGGCGACGACGGGUAGCUGAUCUGAGAGGAUGGUCAGCCACAGGGGAACUGAGACACGGUCCCCACUCCUACGGGAGGCAGCAGUGAGGAAUGUUGGGCAAUGGGCGCAAGCCUGACCCAGCAAUGCCGCGUGCGGGACGAAGGUCCUCGGAUCGUAAACCGCUUUUGUGGGGGAGUAGCAAGGAGAGUACCCCACGAAUAAGUCACGGCUAACUACGUGCCAGCAGCCGCGGUAAUACGUAGGUGACAAAUGUUAUCCGGAAUCACUGGGCGUAAAGGGUCUGUAGGCGGUCUUUUAGGUCUGAUGUGACAACUCGUGGCUUAACUGCGAGAAUGCAUUGGAAACCGGAGGACUAGAAUCACGUUGAGGUCGGUGGAAUUCCCGGUGUAGUGGUGGAAUGCGUAGAGAUCGGGAGGAACCUCGAAAGCGAAGGCAGCCGGCUAAACGAUGAUUGACGCUGAGGGACGAUAGCGUGGGUAGCAAACAGGAUUAGAUACCCUGGUAGUCCACGCCGUAAACGAUGUGUGCUCGGUGUGUGUGGGUAAAACCAUGCGCGCCUCAGCUAACGCGAUAAGCACACCGCCUGGGGAGUACGGCCGCAAGGCUAAAACUCAAAGGAAUUGACGGGGACCCGCACAAGCAGCGGAGCGUGUGGUUUAAUUCGAUGCGACGCGAAGAACCUUACCUAGGUUUGACAUGACUCUGGUAGCGAAGGGAAACCUAAGCGACCCGCAAGGGAGGAGCCACAGGUGCUGCAUGGCUGUCGUCAGCUCGUGUCGUGAGAUGUUGGGUUAAGUCCCGCAACGAGCGCAACCCUCGGCGUAUGUUUUACAUGUCAUACGCAACUGCCCGCCAUAAGCGGGAGGAAGGUGGGGAUGACGUCAAGUCAGCAUGGCCUUUAUAUCUAGGGCGACACACACGCUACAAUGGCGCGUACAAUGGGCAGCGAGUGGGCGACCACAAGCAAAUCUCUUAAAGCGCGUCUUAGUUCGGAUUGGAGUCUGCAACUCGACUCCAUGAAGGCGGAGUUGCUAGUAACCGCGCGUCAGCCACAGUGCGGUGAAUGCGUUCCCGGGUCUUGUACACACCGCCCGUCACGUCAUGGAAGCCGGUAAUACCUGAAGUCGGAUGAGGAACCUUCGGGACCUGUCUGCCGAGGGUAGGACUGGUGACUGGGACGAAGUCGUAACAAGGUAGCAGUACCGGAAGGUGCGGCUGGAUCACCUCCUU
rnacentral:rRNA from 1 species